CCCUGCGUGUCGCCGCAGGUACUCCACGGAAGCAUGCGUCUGACGGGCCGCGGCCAAGUGGCCAUUACUGUCAGAGGUCUGAAGCCUUCCCGGUAAUGUAGCAAACCUGGCAGCCUCAAGCCGGGUGCGCGC
rfam:Freshwater sediment metagenome lwMethylamine_BCHP16574_g2, whole genome shotgun sequence.